rnacentral:tRNA from 1 species
GGGGGUUCAUCUUGCCCGGUGGCAGGCACGGUCUUCAAAACCGCUGAACGUCCGUUGAGGGCGUUGGUCGGUUCGACUCCGACGAGUCCCCGCCA